rnacentral:lncRNA from 1 species
UUACACUCCCACAAGUCAUCACUAUUGACAUUAACUCACGCCCCUUAUAACCCAACCUUUCGAAAUCCAUUCUCUCACACAACUUUCAAGAAGAAAAAUAGCUGUUAUUUCUGUAACUGAAAUGCUAAAUUUUGCCCUAUCUAACUGGCUUGCGUAGAUCAUUAAAGUCUUUUUGUAAUUUUCUUCCUCAGGUUGAUCAAUCAUGAAGAUCUUAAUCAGCAGUCUCUUUGUUGCCUUAGUUUUGAUCUUGGGAUCCUUUCAAGCGAAUGCAAAAUGGGUUCUUCCCCAGGAACGUCAGUUAUUCAACGAUGCAAAUCUGGCCCGAAAGGUAAGUGCUGGUCCUAAUGAUAAGUUUGCGACUGAAACCAAAGGAGCUGAGAAUCUUGAAACUAAGACAAAAAAUGGAGCUGACACUGCUGUAAAUUGUGAGUUGAAUGAAAAUAACGAUGGAGAAGAUUCAGGUUCAACCUCCCAUCGCUAUUUCUCAGAUGAUGAACGCCAACCCAUAAACAAUAAGAUUCACACACCUCAUCCCAGUCCCUAGACGACGAAAAUAUGGUUUUUAUGCUACAAGUUUUAGUUUUGGGUGCUUAGCACUUGUGUAUUUUAGUGAAGUCUUGUGCAAUAAUCUUGGCUUUUAUGCUACCUAAGUUUAUAGACUCCUUAUUAUGUGGUAUUUUCAUAUGUGAUCUACUGAAGUUAAAGUGAGUUGUCGCAUGUUUAAUUGUCUAUAGACUACUUAUUAUGUGGUAUUUUCCUAACUAUUUUUUAGUGACAUGGAG